GUUACAUUCUUUUAGGAUUGGGAAGCACAGAUGGUGACGCAUUCAGCCUGGCCUAGACACCCAGCCCAGUGCUGAGGAUGUGAGCAGUCUGUGGUAAUAACGCCAGUGUCAGCAACGGAGGCGCCCAAGCACGCCCCAAUAAUAGAGCAAACAAUGUGGGACAGUGAAUGGUGUUGUAAGAAGCAACCCAGAUGCAUGUUGCCUGUGUUCGGCAGUUCCGAGUGGUGCCAUGGAGGGACAAUUUAAAACAAUGGGCUCUGUUAAUUCAUGCAUUUCCAUGUGGUAGAAUAAAUAAAAAAAAGGCAUCGUGCAUGAAAUUAUAAUAAAAUUCACUUGUGCAAGA